GUCUAUGGCCAUGCCACCCUGAACAAGCCUGAUAUCUGAUCUCGGAAGCUAAGCAGGGUCGGGCCUGGUUAGUACUUGGAUGGGAGACCACCUAGGAAGACCAGGUGCUGUAGGCA
rnacentral:rRNA from 1 species